rnacentral:misc_RNA from 1 species
AACAAGGCGUACCUGCGGACCUGCGGAGGGAUCAUUACCGAGUGUGGUCCCAUAAGGGGCGCCUCCCGUCCUUUGCAGGGCCUUUAGGGGCUUUUUGACUUUGCUUCGGCGGGCUUGCCCCGCCGGAACACCCUCAAGAAAAUCUUUAUGAACCGUUUGUCCGAGUUUGCUUGCGAAUAAAAAACAAAACUUUCAGCAACGGAUCU